ACCCUUGUGAGUAGUGGUUGAGCC
rnacentral:siRNA from 1 species